UGGGGAAUAUUGCACAAUGGAGGGAACUCUGAUGCAGCGACGCCGCGUGAACGAAGAAGGCUUUCGAGUCGUAAAGUUCUUUUAUAUGGGAAGAUAAUGACGGUACCAUAGGAGGAAGCCCCGGCUAACUACGUGCCAGCAGCCGCGGUAAUACGUAGGGGGCGAGCGUUGUCCGGAAUUACUGGGCGUAAAGGGUUCGCAGGCGGCAUGGCAAGUCCGAUGUAAAAGGCGAAGGCUCAACCUUCGUAAGCAUCGGAAACUGUCAAGCUUGAGUGAAGGAGAGGCAAGUGGAAUGCCUAGUGUAGCGGUGGAAUGCGUAGAUAUUAGGAGGAAUACCGGUGGCGAAGGCGACUUGCUGGACUUCAACUGACGCUGAGGAACGAAAGCGUGGGUAGCAAACAGG
rnacentral:rRNA from 1 species